rfam:Clostridium halophilum strain M1 genome assembly, contig: G325DRAFT_scaffold00001.1
GGACUGCGAUGAUACAGAAGGUUGCCAGCUAGACUGGGUGAAUUUCUGUUGAGAAAUGUCCGUUCUUGAAUCGGGCGACGA